rfam:Chlorobium ferrooxidans DSM 13031 ctg57, whole genome shotgun sequence.
CAAGUUACUCACAUGAAAGGCAUCGCCAACCAUCAUGACCCCGAGUCAUGCCUCAAUAGCCAGCAAAGGAAAGGUGAAGCGUUGACAGGGGAAAAAACAGGCGUCCUAUUAAGCUCC